GAUGAACGCUGGCGGCGUGCCUAAUACAUGCCAGUCGAGCGAACAGACGAGGAGCUUGCUCCUCUGACGUUAGCGGCGGACGGGUGAGUAACACGUGGAUAACCUACCUAUAAGACUGGGAUAACUUCGGGAAACCGGAGCUAAUACCGGAUAAUAUAUUGAACCGCAUGGUUCAAUAGUGAAAGACGGUUUUGCUGUCACUUAUAGAUGGAUCCGCGCCGCAUUAGCUAGUUGGUAAGGUAACGGCUUACCAAGGCAACGAUGCGUAGCCGACCUGAGAGGGUGAUCGGCCACACUGGAACUGAGACACGGUCCAGACUCCUACGGGAGGCAGCAGUAGGGAAUCUUCCACAAUGGGCGAAAGCCUGACGGAGCAACGCCGCGUGAGUGAUGAAGGUCUUCGGAUCGUAAAACUCUGUUAUUAGGGAAGAACAAAUGUGUAAGUAACUAUGCACGUCUUGACGGUACCUAAUCAGAAAGCCACGGCUAACUACGUG
rnacentral:rRNA from 1 species